rnacentral:rRNA from 1 species
GAAUAGUACCCCGGAAGGGGUGUGAAAGUGAACUUGAAACCGCGUGCUUACAAGUAGUUAGAGUCCGUUAAUGGGUGAUGGCGUGCCUUUUGUAGAAUGAACCGGCGAGUUUCGAUUUGAUGCUAGUUUAAGCAGUUAUUGUGGAUCCGUAGUGAAAGCGAACUUGAAACCGUGUGCUUACAAGUAGUCAGAGCCCGCUAAUGGGCGAUGGCGUGCCUUUUGUAGAAUGAACCGGCGAGUUACGAUUUGAUGCAAGGUUAAGCAGUUACUGUGGAGCCGUAGCGAAAGCGAGUCUGAAUAGGGCGUUUAGUAUUUGGUCGUAGACCCGAAACCAGGUGAUCUACCCUUGGUCAGG